rnacentral:rRNA from 1 species
GACGAACGCUGGCGGCGUGCUUAACACAUGCAAGUCGAACGGAAAGGCCCUGCUUUUGUGGGGUGCUCGAGUGGCGAACGGGUGAGUAACACGUGAGUAACCUGCCCUUGACUUUGGGAUAACUUCAGGAAACUGGGGCUAAUACCGGAUAGGAGCUCCUGCUGCAUGGUGGGGGUUGGAAAGUUUCGGCGGUUGGGGAUGGACUCGCGGCUUAUCAGCUUGUUGGUGGGGUAGUGGCUUACCAAGGCUUUGACGGGUAGCCGGCCUGAGAGGGUGACCGGGCACAGGUGGACUGAGCUGCGGCCAGGAUGCGGAAGGGGGGCAGCGGGGGGGGAGAUUGGGCGAGGGGCGGAGGGGGGGAGCAGCAGGGCGGCGUGUGGGAUGACGGCCGGGGGGUGUUAAACGGAGUUCCGCGGGGGGGGGGGGGGGGGGAGGGUAAGGGGGAAAGAAGCACGGGCAAAAAAGGUGCGAGCAGGCGCGGUACUAGAACGGAACGGCACGUCAGAAC